rnacentral:miRNA from 1 species
GAGAAUAUGUGUGUGUGUGUGUGUGUGUGUGUGUGUGUGUGCAUACACACACACACACACACACACACACACACACACACACAUAU